AGGACGAACGCUGGCGGCGUGCUUAACACAUGCAAGUCGAGCGGAAAGGCCCUUCGGGGUACUCGAGCGGCGAACGGGUGAGUAACACGUGAGCAACCUGCCCUUAGCUCCGGGAUAGCUCCGGGAAACCGGAAUUAAUACCGGAUAUGACCUAGGCCGACAUCGGCUGUGGUGGAAAGUUUUUCGGCUGGGGAUGGACUCGCGGCCUAUCAGCUUGUGGUGGGGUAAUGGCCUACGAAGGCGACGACGGGUA
rnacentral:rRNA from 1 species